rnacentral:rRNA from 1 species
GUCCUAGCUGUAAACGGUGCGCAUUUGCUGUGGGCGGAAUCGACCCCGUUCGUGGCGAAGCUAACGCGUUAAAUGCGCCGCCUGGGAAGUACGGUCGCAAGAUUAAAACUCAAAGAAAUUGACGGGGCCUGCACAAGCGGUGGAGUAUGUGGCUCAAUUCGAUGCAACGCGAAGAACCUUACCUGGCCUUGACAUGUACGUAGUAGAAGGGUGAAAGCCUGACGAGGUAGCAAUACCAGCGUACACAGGUGCUGCAUGGCUGUCGU